rnacentral:lncRNA from 1 species
CUCCCUUUCCCCCCGAGUGUACCUAGUGACUCUAAGGAACACAAAAGAAGGGAAUAGCGCAAAGUGGGGAAACUGGACCUCUUGGCUUCAGGAUGUCCCAAUUAAGUGCUAAUCGAGGGUACAGGCUUUGAAAUGCAGUUUUCAAUCGUUUCUCCUUCUAAAUAGAGGCUCUCGAAAACAAAGCCUAAGCAAAAGGCGUUCAUGGGUGAAACAAAGGAUGGGUGCUUUCUGUGUGCCGGGAACGCUGCAUUUUAAAAUCAAGUUCGGUCAUUCAUUUUAAGAAUGAGAGUUGUUGAUGAUGAGCCAUUGGACACUUGGGAGGCUGAGGCAAGAGGAUCAGGAGUUCAAGAACAUCCUUGGCUACACAGCAAGUCCUAGGCCAGCCUAGGCUAUUUAAGAGCCCAUCUCAGAGUGUAGGUGGGACAGAGACAUAUCAGUUCCAGCCUGUGUUCAUUCCUUUUUCUCUAAACAGAGGAACUUCCUGAAUGGAGCUUCAUAGUGGAAGUCACCUAAGUGGACCCUUUGAAGUCACCAAUACUUACUAUCAUUCCUAUAGAAUUCUAAGUUCAUCUUAAACCUACCUUCCUGCAUCCCUGAACAAGAAGGAGCAAGUAAUUGUUGAAGAGAUGGAAAAGAAGAGGAGGAGAACAGAGUUGCUUUACAGGCUUUGUAGCCAGUCAGCAGAAUGCUUGCCUUACAUUCAUGAAACUCUGGGUUUGAUCCUCAGCACAGAAAAAAAAAAAAAAACAUGGAUAAUCCAUGCAUGAAAUCCCAGCACUCAAGAGAUGGAAGCAGGAGGAUCAGAAAUUCAAGGUGACUCUCAGCUACAUAAUGGGCUUGAGGCUAGCCUGGGCUACACAAGAACCUGUCCAAAAAAAGAGAAAAAGCCUUUAGACCAUGCCCCAUGUUCAUAUUUGCUCAAUGAAGAAUAAACUGGGAAAUAAAUUUGUGCC